UGGAAACGGUAGCUAAUACCCGAUGGUCUCGAUAAUUCGGUUUGUCGAGUAAAGGCUCCGGCGCUUUGAGAGGGACCUGCGGCCCAUCAGCUAGUUGGUAGGGUAACGGCCUACCAAGGCGAAGACGGGUAGGGGGCGUGAGAGCGUGACCCCCCACACUGGCACUGGGACACGGGCCAGACUCCUACGGGAGGCAGCAGUGAGGAAUAUUGCGCAAUGAGCGAAAGCUAGACGCAGCAACGCCGCGUGCGUGAUGAAGGCCUUCGGGUCGUAAAACCCUUUUCUGGGGGAAGAGUAAGGACGGUACCCCAGGAAUAAGCCUCGGCUAACUAUGUGCCAGCAGCCGCGGUACUACAUAGGAGGCAGCGUUAUCCGGAUUUACUGGGCGUAAAGAGCGUUGAGGCGGCUUCGUAAGUUGGACGUGAAAGCUCCCGGCUAAACUGGGAGAGGCCGUUCAAUACUGCGGGGCUUGAGGACAGCAGAAGGGGGGUGGAAUUUCCGGUGAAGUGGUGAAAUGCGUAGAUAUCGGGAAGGAACACCAGUGGCGAAGGCGGCCCCCUGGGCUGCUCCUGACGCUGAAGGCGACAGCUAGGGUAGCGAACGGGGAUUAGAAACCCCCGGUAGUUCCUAGCCCGUAAACGGAGUGGAUACUAAGGUGUAGGCAGGUUAAAAACUCGCUUCUGUGCCGGAGCUAACGGCGUUAAGUAUCCCGCCUGGGGAGUACGGUCGCAAGGCUAAAACUCAAAGGAAUUGACGGGGGCCCGCACAAGCAGCGGAGCGUGUGGUUUAAUUCGAUGCAACGCGAAGUACCUUACCAGGGCUUGACAUGUAGGUAGUAGUGAAGCGAAAGCGGUACGAUCCUUCGGGAAGCCUACACAGGUGCUGCAUGGCUGUCGUCAGCUCGUGCCGUGAGGUGUUAGGUUAAGUCCUGUAACGAGCGCAACCCCUGCCGUUAGUUACAAGUGUCUAACGGGACUGCCCGGCAAAACUGGGAGGAAGGUGGGGAUGACGUCAAGUCAGCAUGGCCUUUAUGUCCUGGGCUACACACACGCUACAAUGGCCGGUACAAUGGGUUGCCAAGCCGCGAGGCGGAGCCAAUCCUCUUAAGCCGGUCUCAGUUCGAAUUGUAGGCUGCAACCCGCCUGCAUGAAGUUGGA
rnacentral:rRNA from 1 species